GACGAACGCUGGCGGCGUGCUUAACACAUGCAAGUCGAACGGAAAGGCCCUGCUUUUGUGGGGUGCUCGAGUGGCGAACGGGUGAGUAACACGUGAGUAACCUGCCCUUGACUUUGGGAUAACUUCAGGAAACUGGGGCUAAUACCGGAUAGGAGCUCCUGCUGCAUGGUGGGGGUUGGAAAGUUUCGGCGGGUGGGGAUGGACUGGCGGCUUAUCAGCUUGUUGGUGGGGUAGUGGCUUACCAAGGCUUUGACGGGUAGCCGGCCUGAGAGGGUGACCGGCCACAUGGGGACUGAGAUACGGCCCAGAGUCCUACGGGAGGCAGCAGUGGGGAAUAUUGCACAAUGGGCGGAAGCCUGAUGCAGCAACGCCGCGUGCGGGAUGACGGCCUUCGGGUUGUAAACCGCUUUCGCCUGUGACGAAGCGUGAGUGACGGUAAUGGGUAAAGAAGCACCGGCUAACUACGUG
rnacentral:rRNA from 1 species